rnacentral:rRNA from 1 species
GGAGUUUGGACCGUGUCUCAGUUCCAAUGUGGGGGACCUUCCUCUCAGAACCCCUACUGAUCGUCGCCUCGGUGGGCCGUUACCCCGCCGACUGGCUAAUCAGACGCAUCCCCAUCCCUUAGCGAUAAAUCUUUAGUCCUCCUUAGAUGCCUGCAAAGGACAACAUAGGGUAUUAAUCCGACUUUCGCCGGGCUAUGCCCUACUAAGGGGAAGGUUGGAUACGCGUUACUCACCCGUGCGCCGGUCGCCAGCGACAAUAGCAAGCUAUCGUCCUGCUGCCCCUCGACUUGCAUGUGUUAAGCCUGUAGCUAGCGUUCAUC